rnacentral:rRNA from 1 species
UACGUAGGGGGCAAGCGUUGUCCGGAAUCAUUGGGCGUAAAGCGCGUGUAGGCGGCCAGAUAAGUCCGCUGUGAAAACUCGGGGCUUAACCCCGGGCCUGCAGUGGGUACGGGCAGACUAGAGUGCGGUAGGGGAGACUGGAAUUCCUGGUGUAGCGGUGAAAUGCGCAGAUAUCAGGAGGAACACCGGUGGCGAAGGCGGGUCUCUGGGCCGUAACUGACGCUGAGGAGCGAAAGCAUGGGGAGCGAACAGG